GCAAAGCGCCGUGCUAUUUCUGCAAAGCCAAAGGGCGAGAGGACGAAAAUAACAAUGUCUCUAGCCACUAGAUAAGCUUUAUCGUAUGCCUUAUGUAAUGUUUAAAACACGUGGUGUACUACCAUAUAGGCUACAGAAAGUCCAUUGAACUGUUUAGUAUGAAAUUUACGUCGAGCGAAAUUAUACGGAGUGGCAACGCCGUAGAGACGAUCGUGUUGCGCGGCGCGACCGCCAGGCGGCGCGACCGUCGGGGGGAGGGGCCGAGCGAGACGAAAGCGAGUGGGACAGAAGACAUACAAGACGCCACGUCGUAAGAUUAUUUUUUUAGUUAUGGGAUAAAAUAAAAUUGUAUGAAAC